ensembl:snoRNA
GGAUAGGAGGGGAGUGACUCUGAGUGUGUCGCUGAUGCCAUCACCGCAGCGCUCUGACC